rnacentral:rRNA from 1 species
CUCAGGGAGGUAGUGACAAGAAAUAACAACACUGGAAAUUUUAUUUCUAGUGAUUGGAAUGAUGGGAAUUUAAACCCCUUUCAGAGUAACAAUUGGAGGGCAAGUCUGGUGCCAGCAGCCGCGGUAAUUCCAGCUCCAAUAGCGUAUAUUAAAGUUGUUGCAGUUAAAAAGCUCGUAGUUGGAUGUCUGCUGGAAGCAAUCAGUCCGCCCUAUUUGUAGGGUGUGCACUUGAUGAAUUCUGGCAUCUAUGUCCUGAUGUAAUACGGCGACGGUGUAUAUGGGUUAAUCCUAUAUACCCGUUUUUGUAUAUUAUAUUGGGAUAAUACCGUUACUUUGAGAAAAUUAGAGUGUUUGAAGCAGGCUAAUUGCCUUGAAUACUGCAGCAUGGAAUAACAAUAUAGGAUUUCGGUUCUAUUUUGUUGGUUUCUAGGACUGAAAUAAUGAUUAAUAGGGACAGUUGGGGGCAUUCGUAUUUAACUGUCAGAGGUGAAAUUCUUAGAUUUGUUAAAGACGAACUACUGCGAAAGCAUUUGCCAAAGAUGUUUUCAUUAAUCAAGAACGAAAGUUAGGGGCUCGAAGACGAUCAGAUACCGUCGUAGUCUUAACCAUAAACUAUGCCGACUAGAGAUAGGAAAAUGUCAUUUUUCUGACUU